UUUUGAUUGUUGCUCAGAAAGCCGUGCAUUUGAAACGGGUCGCUUUCGAGCAGUAAUCAAAGUC
rnacentral:pre_miRNA from 1 species